GACAGAGGGUGCAAACGUUGUUCGGAAUUACUGGGCGUAAAGCGCGUGUAGGCGGUCACGCAAGUCAGGUGUGAAAGCCCAGGGCUCAACCCUGGAAGUGCACAUGAUACUACGUGGCUGGAGUACUGAAGAGGAGAGCGGAAUUCCCGGUGUAGAGGUGAAAUUCGUAGAUAUUGGGAAGAACACCGGUGGCGAAGGCGGCGACCUGGUCCUUGACUGACGCUGAGGCGCGAAAGCGUGGGGAGCAAACAGG
rnacentral:rRNA from 1 species